rnacentral:tmRNA from 1 species
GGGGGCGACCUGGCUUCGACGUGGGUUACUGCACUUGAGGUGCGUGUCGAGCAUGCAAUAAGCUCGUAAAUCUCGUUGCAAACUAUAGCUGCAAACGAUAACAGCUAUUCUGCUGAUCAAGACCUCGCAAUCGCUGCCUAGUCAGUGCUUGCAGUCGCGAUAGCCGCCUAAGAAACGGCAACAGCCUGGUUGAUUGAUCCGCCUAUAGGUUGAUUAAACCAGUCAGAACAUGUGGGCUGGCCUUGCCAUAUGGCUCGUAUGGUAGAGCAAGAUUCUGAGCUCGCCUGCUUAUUUCCCUGCCUGUUGGGGGUAAGAGGGGUUAAAUUAAAAAACAAGGCUACACACGUAGUACCAAGAGGAAUGAAUUAACGGACGCGGGUUCAAUUCCCGCCGCCUCCACCA